CAUGCAAGUCGAACGAAGGCUUCGGCCUUAGUGGCGCACGGGUGCGUAACGCGUGGGAAUCUGCCCUUGGGUUCGGAAUAACUCAGAGAAAUUUGAGCUAAUACCGGAUGAUGUCGAAAGACCAAAGAUUUAUCGCCCGAGGAUGAGCCCGCGUAGGAUUAGCUAGUUGGUGAGGUAAAGGCUCACCAAGGCGACGAUCCUUAGCUGGUCUGAGAGGAUGAUCAGCCACACUGGGACUGAGACACGGCCCAGACUCCUACGGGAGGCAGCAGUGGGGAAUAUUGGACAAUGGGCGAAAGCCUGAUCCAGCAAUGCCACGUGAGUGAUGAAGGCCUUAGGGUUGUAAAGCUCUUUUACCCGGGAUGAUAAUGACAGUACCGGGAGAAUAAGCUCCGGCUAACUCCGUGCCAGCAGCCGCGGUAAUACGGAGGGAGCUAGUGUUAUUCGGAAUUACUGGGCGUAAAGCGCACGUAGGCGGCUUUGUAAGUCAGAGGUGAAAUCCUGGAGCUCAACUCCAGAACUGCCUUUGAUACUGGCAAUCUCGAGUCCGAGAGAGGUGAGUGGAACUCCUAGUGUAGAGGUGGAAUUCGUAGAUAUUAGGAAGAACACCAGUGGCGAAGGCGGCUCACUGGCUCGGUACUGACGCUGA
rnacentral:rRNA from 1 species